rnacentral:rRNA from 1 species
AUGGAUAAAAUUGUGAGAGUGUUGGAGAUCUCUAAAGGCACUUGUAUCAGAGUCGUAUAUGGAGUUUCUUCCCAGCUAUGCAUCUGCUUUCAUCCUGCAAUUAAUUUUAGCACGGGGAGAGUAAUCAGCAAACUCACCUAUGACAAUGCGGUUACAGCGUUGGAUAUCGACCACACUGGUCAACUUAUUUUUGCUGGUGAUGCGCAGGGUUACAUAUACACUAUUAGUGUGAACUCUCACACAGGGUCUUUAUCUAGAACUCAUAAGAACAAGAGUUGUAAGAUCAAAUCUUCCGUUACAACCAUCCGCAUUGCAACAAAUUCCCAUGGAUACUUGACUCUCAUAUGCUCUCUAAAAUUGGCUUCACCAGUGCAGAAUAUCCGUGCUUCUUUCUGUCCACUUCUUUCCCUUGAGAAAGGGGAAUUCAUAGGUAUUGAUGAAGUCGUUUACAUCCCUAAAGGGACACGGCUCUCCAGUAAUGGGAGUAGCCUGGAAUCACGGGGAAAAUUUGCUCGCCUCAUCUGA